GGUGAGGUGGCCGAGCGGCUGAAGGCGCUCCCCUGCUAAGGGAGUAUAUCUUAAUCGGUAUCGAGGGUUCGAAUCCCUCCCUCACCGCCA
rnacentral:tRNA from 1 species